ensembl:snRNA U6 U6 spliceosomal RNA
GUGCUCGAUUCAGCAGCACAUAUACUAAAAGUGAAAUGAUGCAGAGAAGAUUCACAUGGCCCCUGCUCAAGGAUGGCAUGCAAAUUUGUGAAGCGUACCAUAUUUUU